AGAAUCAACGCUGGCGGCGUGCCUAACACAUGCAAGUCGAACGAGAAAGGGGAGCAAUCCCUGAGUAAAGUGGCGCACGGAUGAGUAACACGUGACUAACCUACCCUGGAGUGGGGGAUAACUGAGGGAAACCUUAGCUAAUACCGCAUAACACCUACGGGUCAAAGGAGCAAUUCGCUUUGGGAGGGGUCGCGGCCGAUUAGUUAGUUGGCGGGGUAAUGGCCCACCAAGACAGUGAUCGGUA
rnacentral:rRNA from 1 species